rnacentral:rRNA from 1 species
UGCCAGCAGCCGCGGUAAUACGGAGGGUGCAAGCGUUGUUCGGAAUUACUGGGCGUAAAGAGCGCGUAGGCGGCAAGGUAAGUCAGAUGUGAAAUCCCUCGGCUCAACCGAGGAACUGCAUUUGAAACUGCCUGGCUUGAGUACGGGAGGGGAGAGCGGAAUUCCCAGUGUAGAGGUGAAAUUCGUAGGUAUUGGGAGGAACACCAGCGGCGAAGGCGGCUCUCUGGACCGAUACUGACGCUGAGGCGCGAAAGCGUGGGGAGCAAACGGGAUUAGAUA